rnacentral:rRNA from 1 species
GAAUGCUGACAUAAGUAACGAUAAAGCGGGUGAAAAGCCCGCUCGCCGGAAGACCAAGGGUUCCUGUCCAACGUUAAUCGGGGCAGGGUGAGUCGACCCCUAAGGCGAGGCCGAAAGGCGUAGUCGAUGGGAAACGGGUUAAUAUUCCCGUACUUGGUGUUACUGCGAAGGGGGGACGGAGAAGGCUAUGUUGGCCGGGCGACGGUUGUCCCGGUUUAAGCGUGUAGGUGUGUGUUCCAGGUAAAUCCGGUUCACUUUAACACUGAGGCGUGAUGACGAGGCACUACGGUGCUGAAGCAACAAAUGCCCUGCUUCCAGGAAAAGCCUCUAAGCAUCAGGUAACAUCAAAUCGUACCCCAAACCGACACAGGUGGUCAGGUAGAGAAUACCAAGGCGCUUGAGAGAACUCGGGUGAAGGAACUAGGCAAAAUGGUGCCGUAACUUCGGGAGAAGGCACGCUGACACGUAGGUGAAGUGAUUUACUCAUGGAGCUGAAGUCAGUCGAAGAUACCAGCUGGCUGCAACUGUUUAUUAAAAACACAGCACUGUGCAAACACGAAAGUGGACGUAUACGGUGUGACGCCUGCCCGGUGCCGGAAGGUUAAUUGAUGGGGUCAGCGCAAGCGAAGCUCCUGAUCGAAGCCCCGGUAAACGGCGGCCGUAACUAUAACGGUCCUAAGGUAGCGAAAUUCCUUGUCGGGUAAGUUCCGACCUGCACGAAUGGCGUAAUGAUGGCCAGGCUGUCUCCACCCGAGACUCAGUGAAAUUGAACUCGCUGUGAAGAUGCAGUGUACCCGCGGCAAGACGGAAAGACCCCGUGAACCUUUACUAUAGCUUGACACUGAACAUUGAGCCUUGAUGUGUAGGAUAGGUGGGAGGCUUUGAAGUGUGGACGCCAGUCUGCAUGGAGCCGGCCUUGAAAUACCACCCUUUAAUGUUUGAUGUUCUAACGUGGACCCGUGAUCCGGGUUGCGGACAGUGUCUGGUGGGUAGUUUGACUGGGGCGGUCUCCUCCUAAAGAGUAACGGAGGAGCACGAAGGUUGGCUAAUCCUGGUCGGACAUCAGGAGGUUAGUGCAAUGGCAUAAGCCAGCUUGACUGCGAGCGUGACGGCGCGAGCAGGUGCGAAAGCAGGUCAUAGUGAUCCGGUGGUUCUGAAUGGAAGGGCCAUCGCUCAACGGAUAAAAGGUACUCCGGGGAUAACAGGCUGAUACCGCCCAAGAGUUCAUAUCGACGGCGGUGUUUGGCACCUCGAUGUCGGCUCAUCACAUCCUGGGGCUGAAGUAGGUCCCAAGGGUAUGGCUGUUCGCCAUUUAAAGUGGUACGCGAGCUGGGUUUAGAACGUCGUGAGACAGUUCGGUCCCUAUCUGCCGUGGGCGCUGGAGAACUGAGGGGGGCUGCUCCUAGUACGAGAGGACCGGAGUGGACGCAUCACUGGUGUUCGGGUUGUCAUGCCAAUGGCACUGCCCGGUAGCUAAAUGCGGAAGAGAUAAGUGCUGAAAGCAUCUAAGCACGAAACUUGCCCCGA